rnacentral:lncRNA from 1 species
UGUUAGCUACAGUCCGUCAUUUGGGGUGACAAACGUCAACAUUAGGUACUGCGUCUAGUAUGGUUAUGAGGAACUCACAACACGCGGAAACAAUGACUCAUGCACGUAGUAAUACUUAACUCAAUCAUGCUCGAGGGGUAAUAACUAUAUUCUAGGGUAUUAUCGGCAUGAUCAAAACUCAGGUUAAAACACUUCCACAACUAGUUUUACUUAACAAUAAGACUNUAUGGUAUUAUGUUUUUAUGAAUGAGUAGCUAUUAAAACUAUUCUUCAUCUAACAAGUGCGAUCUUCGUAUAGCUUUAUUAUAUAAAACUAUGCCACAACUUUUAAGCACGUCGGUUGCUUGCGAUUUUCGGUCUUAGAGACUGCCAGUUAUGUUAGGAAAAUAAGGGUUUUUCCUGUAUACAAACCAAACAACUAUUAGGAAAAUAAGGGAUUUUCUUGGUUCAACUAGCUACAUUUUUCAACACAAAUACUCUCAUGCAUUUCAUACUUUUAUAAGAAAAUAAGGGAUUUUCUUGGAAAAAUAUACACUCAUUUUGGAAUGGCAUUCAAUGUUUCUAAAUCACUUAUGAACUCACCAACUUAAUUGUUGACACUUUUUCCUUGAAAUAACUUGUAUUCUCAGGGAACCGUUAAGCAGGUUUGGAAAUCAACUUUUGAGGAUUAACGUGCUGACGUUAAUUACUUCUUUUGAAAAAUGUUUAUGUAUUUAUCUGUUGAACAUGUAACGAAUACAAUUAUGUAAACAUUUUGGAAACCUUAAUAUGUAUGGUGGUGUGUACUUUCCUUUCUAUGAACUGUUAUGAUACUGAAUAUGACGUCCUCCGCCCCUGAACGUUUCCGCCGUUCUGGUUUGGGUGUGUGAUAGAUUGGUAUCAGAGCAUUGUUUAUAGUGAACUAAGUAUAUCAAAACCAUUUUUGAUAUACAACUAUAAACACAACUGGGCAAAAACACUCUGAGUAAGAGUCAUACUUUUAAAAUUAAAUUUAUUUAGUUUUGUAAAGUAGGCAUGCAUUCAUUUCAUAUUAAUAACAUGGUCGGUAUCAUAACUAAAACAAUAUAGAAGUAUUAUAAAUAAGUUGUGCAGUGCAGGUAUGCCUUGGGACAUGUAAUCGGAACUGGGAAGAAUAUAGCCUGAUCAACUAUAUUUGUCCAAGAGCCGACUAACGUAUGCCAAGGAGUGUCUGCAAUGGACAACAAAUUUAAAACUUACCAAACUUAUAAACUUUAGAAUCAAACAUAACAUUUAGAAUACUAUAGGAAUAUUUUAUGAAUACGAUAGUUUAACGUUGAGGUCAACCUUGUGUGCCUUAGUUCUAGACAAUCCUUAUCUCCUUAUUCUCGUACAAACACAAUGGCUGGAUUUCCACCUAGCAGGAGACCCCUACUACCCAUACCAGUAGACCCUUUCACUUUAACCAUCGACUAACGAAACUCGAUCGAUUUAUCACGACAAACCCGACACUAAACCCAAUUGGUUUCAAGUUUCAAAACCCCGAGGUACUCAUGUGAGGAGUACUAUAUCUUUACAACCUUCCCGUAGUAUCCCCCAACAGAUCAUUUAGAAAUACCACACAUACAACGAGUCAAAUCCAAGCUCAGAAACUAGGAGUGAAUUCAACCAUGAACUUCAAAACGUAGCUGCCCUAAUGCAUCGAGUGAAUAUUCUAACAUUUAGAAGAACAUAAGUAAAUAAACCCAAAACCACACGAUCCCGAUCGAUCGAAGUGAUAGGUGGAGUAAUGAAGGUCCGCUAAAACACGCACGUUAGGAUCUAGAUUCAUAAAGGAACAAGAGGAACAAAUCGACCAGAAGCACUCACGCCUGCCCGCAAGAACUGGAGUCCCAGUCAAAAUGCGAAUUUCGGGACGAAAUUCUCUCUAACGGGGGGAUAAUGUAACAACAGCAAAAUUCAGGUAAAAAUUCAACUUUUAUAAAACCGUAAUUGAUUAUACUAAGUGGUAAAUAUUGNNNNNNNNNNNNNNNNNNNNNNNNNNNNNNNNNNNNNNNNNNNNNNNNNNNNNNNNNNNNNNNNNNNNNNNNNNNNNNNNNNNNNNNNNNNNNNNNNNNNCACAACUUCACCCUCUUGGGAUACAAUAUGUUUUAUAAAUAGAAGAAGGUUUUAUUUAUACGUUUGUAUACUACAUCAUAUCAAGAGUAACCAUUUCAAAUAUAACAUGAUGCUUUUACAAGAAAACUCAACUCAUCAUCACGUUUUUGUAACACGGUAGAAAACGAAAUCAUUUCAUACGAACGAUUUUCAUCAUAUUACUCGUGAACUUGUUGUUAGCAAUCAUGUGAUGGCAUAUGGCUUUGUUUGUACCAAACGAAAGUCCUCACCUAUAACCAGAGUCUCCUGGAGGGAGAGCGUGACAAGUGUGUAUAGAUCUAUACGGGGCUGACAACUCCGCACCCUGACUGUUAGCUACAGUCCGUCAUUUGGGGUGACAAACGUCAACAUUAGGUACUGCGUCUAGUAUGGUUAUGAGGAACUCACAACACGCGGAAACAAUGACUCAUGCACGUAGUAAUACAUAACUCAAUCAUGCUCGAGGGGUAAUAACUAUAUUCUAGGGUAUUAUCGGCAUGAUCAAAACUUAGGUUAAAACACUUCCACAACUAGUUUUACUUAACAAUAAGACUGCACCUCACUUUUAGGAAAAUAAGGGAUUUUCCUGGUUCAAAUACAUUCAUUUUGUACAAUAACGAUUUACAACAUCAUUCUUUUGAGCAUGUCAUAAUUUCUUAUAGCUUACAGUCUUGGUCAUUUGAGACUGCAUUUCACUUUUAGGAAAAUAAGGGAUUUUCCUGGUUCAAAUACAUAUAGUACAUACAACAAUCUUUCAAACUCAUUUCAUACAUCAAAUAGAAAAUAAGGGAUUUUCUGGAAAACAUACAAGCACUUUCGAAUGGCAUACAUUUUCUCAAAACACCACUUAUGAACUCACCAACUUAAAUGUUGACAAUUUUUCUUUGAAAUAACUUGUAUUCUCAGGAAACCACUAGACCAGGUAGCAACUACUUUUGAAGACUAAC